ensembl:lncRNA
GUGUUUUGGAGUUUGUACGUGCUUUGUCUCUAGGGGCCACCGUAUGUGCGUACUUGUAAGCGUGGCAAUGGCGGAGGAGCGCGGCUAAAAAACUUAUUACUUUUUCUGGGUCACAAAAUAAAACUUUUAAGAUAUUUUCAGGCAAGAAUGUAGCUGUGUAAAGUUUAAGUAUCUGCUCGAUUUAUCAAGACAUCACAUAUUUGCAAAAAUGCUCUAACGUUUUCGGAGACGUCCAUUUUUUUCAUGCUUUGUGGCAGCUUUUGAACAUCUGUGGCAUCUAUUAAUGUCAAAUCUAGCCUUUAUUUAACAACAUAAGCAAUCUCUAUGUUACAAUAAUUGCACAGCCAUUAAGGAUCAAAUCAGUUUCUGAAAAAUGUUCUGUUUUUUCUCCCUCUGCUUGCUUCUUACUGUCUUUGAGGCUCGGGACCAGCACUCCUGUUGUUGGACAGAAAGACAUCAACUCAGCGGUAAGUAUUUUGGUUUUCCAAUAUAUUAGCAACUGUCAGUGACAUUUAUAUUAAUCAGGCUGAACUUUAAUCAUACUUUAGAUCAGCCUGUUUUACUUAUUGUUUUAUUUGUGCUUUGGUUUGGGGAAGUUUUGCUGUUGACUCCAGUUAAUUCUACAAGACAUGCUGUGACACCAGGAGAGAUGAGUCCUCCGUCACAGAUGGUGUGGUCAGUGAAGAUGGUCGCCUGCAGGUUCAAGCUCACUGCAUCUCCAACCCACAUCCACUGCCACUGCACUUAAGGGAAGUUAAAGACUUUCUUCUGCACCUACAUUUGGAUCACCUCGAUCCAUGAUAGUCAUUCAGGCAGUAAUGCCUGGACUGGAAACAAGCCAUCCUUAAAACAUUACAACAUUCCAGCUCAUGUGUUGGAAUGCAAAACAAAUGUGUUGUUUAAAUUAGAGACUGCACUUGUGACAGAACAACAAAUAUUUUAUUUUGAUUAUAUAAGUAAUGUAAGUACGAAACAAACUUGUGGUAGACCUAAACUUAUUUUCAGAAUAAUUACAUCUGAGACUUUGUUUCAUUGUGAGAUUAUAACAGUGAUGGCAAUAUAAUUGUUUGUUGUUCAGCAGAACAGUGUCCAGUAUGUUGGCUGUUAUACUUUGUUGUGUUUGAAAAUAAAAGUUGGGCUGAUUUUAACAUCAUUA